rnacentral:rRNA from 1 species
CGGGUGAGUAACGCGUGGGUAACCUGCCUCAUACAGGGGGAUAGCAGUUAGAAGUGACUGCUAAUACCGCAUAAGCAUACAGGACCGCAUGGUCGAGUAUGAAAAACUCCGGUGGUAUGAGAUGGACCCGCGUCUGAUUAGCUAGUCGGUGAGGUAACGGCUCACCGAGGCGACGAUCAGUAGCCGGCCUGAGAGGGUGAACGGCCACAUUGGGACUGAGACACGGCCCAAACUCCUACGGAAGGCAGCAG